CCUACGGGCGGCAGCAGUGGGGAAUAUUGGGCAAUGGGCGCAAGCCUGACCCAGCAACGCCGCGUGAAGGAUGAAGGCUUUCGGGUUGUAAACUUCUUUUGACAGGGAAGAGCAGAAGACGGUACCCGUCGAAUUAGCCACGGCUAACUACGUGCCAGCAGCCGCGGUAAUACGUAGGUGGCAAGCGUUUUCCGGAUGUACUGGGUGUAAAGGGCGGGUAGCCGGGCUGACAAGUCAGAUGUGAAAUCCGGGGGCUCAACCCCCGAACUGCCUUUGAAACUGUUGGUCUUGAGUGUCGGAGGGGCAGACGGAAUUCCUAGUGUAGCGGUGGAAUGCGUAGAUAUUAGGAGGAACACCAGUGGCGAAGGCGACCUGCUGGACGACAACUGACGGUGAGGCGCGAAAGCGUGGGGAGCAAACAGGAUUAGAUACCCUAGUAGUC
rnacentral:rRNA from 1 species